rnacentral:tRNA from 1 species
GUUGUUUUGGCAGAAUAGUGCAAUAGAUUUAGAAUCUUUUUAUGUAUGAUUAUACAAACAAUA